AGUGAACGCUGGCGGUAGGCCUAACACAUGCAAGUCGAACGGCAGCACAGUAAGAGCUUGCUCUUACGGGUGGCGAGUGGCGGACGGGUGAGGAAUACAUCGGAAUCUACUUUUUCGUGGGGGAUAACGUAGGGAAACUUACGCUAAUACCGCAUACGACCUACGGGUGAAAGCAGGGGAUCUUCGGACCUUGCGCGAUUGAAUGAGCCGAUGUCGGAUUAGCUAGUUGGCGGGGUAAAGGCCCACCAAGGCGACGAUCCGUAGCUGGUCUGAGAGGAUGAGCAGCCACACUGGAACUGAGACACGGUCCAGACUCCUACGGGAGGCAGCAGUGGGGAAUAUUGGACAAUGGGCGCAAGCCUGAUCCAGCCAUACCGCGUGGGUGAAGAAGGCCUUCGGGUUGUAAAGCCCUUUUGUUGGGAAAGAAAAGCAGCAGGUUAAUACCCCGCUGUUCGGACGGUACCCAAAGAAUAAACACCGGCUAACUUCGU
rnacentral:rRNA from 1 species